UCCCUGGCAGCCCAGUGGGUAGGACUUAGUACUUUCAUUGCCAUGGACCUGGGUUCAAUCCCUGGUCAGGGAA
rnacentral:tRNA from 1 species